AGAACAAGAGUAGAUUUCUGUGGUAGAAGUCCCAACACACCAAACUUUUGGGCGAGAAAAGAUUAUGGCAACUGGUGAUUUUAAUGGGCCAGCCAUGCUUGUGUAAUUAAGCCUCCAUAAAAACUGGGAAGAGUAGUGUUUGGAGAGCUUCCUGGUAGUUCCUGGAAGUUGAUGCAUGAUAGUUCCUUGUCUCUUUCCACAUGCUCUGUUGUAACUAUCCAUCCCUUCAUCUGGUCUUCAUCCAUGUCCUCUUUGAUAUCCUCUUAAAUAGACCAGAGUGUUCUCUGAGUUCUAUGAACUGCUCUAACAGGGGAGGGGGGUCUGAAAACCCUGUUUCUGGCCAUUCAGUCAGAAGUGUGGGUAAAAAGUACCAGGGCUUUUUGCCUGGAGCCUGAACUCUUAGGGAAUGUGUCUUAAGUAUGGGAGAAAAUUGCUUUAUCCAGAUAGACCAUAUCAGAGUUAAGUCAAAUUGAAGGACAUCCAGCUGGGAUCCAGCUUGCUUGCUGGUGCAUACAAGAAGACCCAAACACAUCUGGCUGCACACAUCUGGGUUGACUAUUGAGAAAACCAGGAUUGGUUUCCUUCCCUGUGUUAAGCCCACUGUCCAAACCUUGUUUUUAUCCCUAGUACCACAAAAGAAAGAAGGAGAAGGCAGUCCUUUUGUGCCUUGGUUGUUCAGGAAAAACAGUGACUUUUGUCCUAACUAGUGUGUAUAUCCUUCUCCUACCUGUGCCUGCAAGCCACAGCUGAUGGAAGUUAGUGACAAGAGCCCUUAAGUCCUAGUCAGCUCACUCCACUGGAAGCACCAGCGCCAUCUGCACAGCCGCUUUAUAUGAAGGUGAAACCUGAGACUGGAAUGUAAAGAUGAAAGACACUGAGGUCAGGGGACACCUCGGGGAGUCAGCUGGUGGCCAUAACCCUGAGGUUAACGCUUGCUUUCUAGUUAGUAAUGUGUGGUAUAUGGCCCCUGUAGGUAGCCCUGGAGCUGGACUGAUUUUUUUUUCAUUGCCCCACCUAUUUUUAAGGUUCAAACCUCUUCUGAUAAAGUGUGGGAAGUUUAACUGGGAAUUAUUUGAGUAAAAUCAAUCUGGAGGAGUUGUCCAAAAUUCAGAACUAAAAAGGGACUUUUCUGCACGGGCCAUCAACCCCUACUUGGGCUUCCUUAGAUCAUGGUGUGCAGUUUUAUUUGUGUGCUGUUUUAACUUGAGUUGGCGCCUUGAUUUCACAUUUAUCUAAGUCACUGGUUAUGCUCAGCCAGCAGCAGUGUGGCCUUCUGCAAUGACUGUCUAGAAAAUAGAGACCUUAAAGAAGAGAGUCUUGGAGACUUGGAGAGAGUCCCCAGUCUUGGUCUUCAUGGCAGGACAGGCUCAGUAUUCUUAGAAAAAUAAUCUGGGGCUGGAGAGAUGGCUCAGCAGUUAAGAGCAGUGACUGUUCUUCUAGAGAUCCUGAGUUUGACUCCCAGCAACCACAUGGGCUCACAACCAUCUGUAAUGGGAUCCGUUGCCCUCUUCUGGUGUGUCUGAAGACAGCUACAUAUUUAUUCUUAUAAGUAAAUCUUGAAAGAAAGAAAGAGAGAGAGAGAGAGAGAAAGAAAGAGAGAGAUAGAAAGGAAGGAAGAAAACUAAUCUGAGAAUUUACCUUGGUGUGCAUGAUUUUUAUUUUUUAUAUGGCACUUUUUAACUAAUAAAAUAUUCCAAAUGAGAACAAACCAGAGCUUCAAGAACAGUGAGCUGAGGCGAGGCUAAGUAGCCUGCUUCUGUCAGCCUUGGCUUAAAUUAACUAGCUUUUCCUCUAUAAAAAGUCUGAUAAUUCUGUUACUUCGAACUGUGGACAUGAAAGGUACCCAAGUUAAAUUAUCAUGCAGCCAGCAAACAUGUUCAGUGCCUGCCUUCUGGUCUGUAUACUUUGGGAUUACACUGUAAGACCAGGUUGAAAUGGGAUUCACAGGAAAGUACUUACCAGUGUGACUGCAUUGUGGUAGAAUACUCAGGAAAUAGCACCGUUUCUGUUGUUACUGUUGCAUCUAAGUUUAGAACUUCUUGAAUUAGCCAGAAUUAACCAAGAGAAGGAUGAAGAAAUAGUUGGCAUGCCAGCCCAGCAAGGCGAGGCACAUGACGCUGUGGGAUGGAGCCUAACAUACCUGCAUCUGUAGUACAGUAAUGUAUGGUUCCACACAGCGUUCGUUCUUGGGAGGCCUUCAGACAUUAGGAGCAGUAUACAUGUUUAGUCUGUAAAUAAAUGGAUAUAUUUUGUCAAGAAGGCACCGUGAUCAAAAAGUAAUAAUAAUAAUAAUAAGGAAGAAAGGAGAGCAUUCAUGUUUUCAAGGACACAAAGACAUGCCUUUUAAAACUGGUCAAAUGUUAAUUGUGAGCAUAUAGUUCAUAAAAAUUUUCAACAUUGAUAAUAUAACGACUCUAAAGAGAAGCAGUAGAAAGAAGGGCCAGUUUCCAUUAUUUUAUUGAGUUGCAAACGUGAAUUCUGGUGUUCUUAUGAAUGCAGAUUGAUAUUUUCAUGUAGGUGGGAACCUGUGUUGGCGCUAUGGGUCUGUCUUUACAUCUUCCCUCAUUGUGUAUUGCCCUUUUCCUGUGUCCUCAUGCUCCCAGUUCUUCUUAUAAUGGCAGUAAAAGAAACCCUGCCCUGCUAAGUGCCUGUUGGCUUAGCUUUUCACCUGAAUUGUAGAAUAUCAAAAGGCAGUGUACUUUUCUUGUUACAUGUAAAUUAGGCAACUGAAGCAAUGCCUAACAUUUGAAGCACAGUGAGACACAUGUGGCAUAUAUUGCACAGUGAAAAGCAUAAGGCAAAACAUUCAGAUAGUUGAAUCCCAAAGAGGUUAAACAGAGUUUUAAUGUAGGAAAACAUUUAGACCCCAAGAACCUCAGUGUCUUUGUCUCUAAAAUGGGUAUAGUUGUUUUGUGUCCCCUGAGGUGUUUGUAUCUUCUAUGCCUGAUGGAGUGUCCAUUGUAAAUUACUGGUUCAGCACUUAGUUGUUGGCAGAAGGAAAUGAAAGAAGGCAACCCUGAUUGAUUGGUGGAUGGAGCAGCUGCUCUGGGGGGGGGGGGGGGGGGGAGCCCAGAGGCUCCUGAAUUAGAUGGCACAAAUACAUCCUGAGUACGUCACAUUUGUCCUGUCAGUUGCAAGUUCGAUAAAGUGAAUGUUCCUAAAUCUGCAAGCCCUGCCAUUUUAUGAAUAUUAAGGCUAAACAUAUCAGAAAAGCAAACUGACCAGUCAUGACCUUGAAAUGUUAAGGGCUAUAUCAUGAAGGAGGCAGCUGUUUCUUUACUGUCAUUAAAGGUCCAUGCUUGUCUCGGCUCAUUAACUUACCCCCUUGGUUGCAUUGCUUUUUAAUUUUAAAUUUCUCAUGGUCACCAAAUGGCUGUCACAGCCUUUCAGCCAGCUUUAAAGCACCAGUAAUACACUCCUAAUUUUGCUGAGGACACAGAAUCCUUUCCUGUGUCCUCCCCAGGUGUCCCUUCAGGUCUCAUUGAAUUGACCUCAGCUUGGCCACCCAUCCAGAGCUCCCAGCAUCCCUACACAGAAACCCAGACUUUGUCAGCAGGAACAUUUUGGGAGCUGUCUGCCCAGUGACCAGGAGUGGUACUGCACAUAAAACAGUGGAGGGAAAAAGAAAAACAAAAGAUGGACAGGAUUUUUCUGUGGGAUUCUGAUAACCCUAUUAAGGGGUUCAGGAGUUACAAAUCCUGAACUGAGGAUUCUAUUGGUUUUGAAUCUAGGAGGAACACUGGAAAAUACUCUCUGUUGUAUAUGUAAGAGUUUUCAUCCCUACCCCUGCCUUU
rnacentral:lncRNA from 1 species